rnacentral:rRNA from 1 species
GUGGGGAAUCUUGCGCAAUGGGCGAAAGCCUGACGCAGCGACGCCGCGUGGGUGACGAAGGCCUUCGGGUCGUAAAGCCCUGUGGGGAGGGACGAACAAGCAGCAAUGCCCUGACGGUACCUCCUUAGCAAGCACCGGCCAACUCCGUGCCAGCAGCCGCGGUAAGACGGAGGGUGCAAACGUUGUUCGGAAUUACUGGGCGUAAAGCGCGUGUAGGCGGUCCGAAAAGUCGGAUGUGAAAUCCCUCGGCUCAACCGAGUGAAUUGCAUUCGAUACUGCCGGACUGGAGUUCGGGAGAGGGACGUGGAAUUCCCGGUGUAGAGGUGAAAUUCGUAGAUAUCGGGAGGAACACCGGUGGCGAAGGCGGCGUCCUGGACCGAUACUGACGCUGAGACGCGAAAGCGUGGGGAGCAAACAGGAUUAGAAACCCGUGUAGUCC